rnacentral:lncRNA from 1 species
CUUCAGUUGGAACAGACACCCUUUCCAGAGCCUCCCUGAGCAAUCACUGUGCUGAGUACACCCCUCGCCCACCAGUAUUGCUCCGCACAGAGGCCUCCCCAACUCCAGGUCUCACCACAGAAGCUUGAGCAGUCCAGUUCCCUACCCACAGCUGACCUCCAACAGCAGGAAGAAGGAGCUUCAGCUUUGGACCUGGUCCCUGGCCCCACCUGACUCCAGGAGGCUGCCCAGAUCAGAACAGGGAGGAUGCUGGUUUCAGUCGGGAAGACCAAGCAAGAAAAAAAAGGCAGAAAAUCCCAGCAGAUAUGCAGUGGCAUGGAUCCAAGUGACAGAGAUGAGCACAGAAGUUACUGCUUUCCUUAUUCCUCUCCUGAUGCUGAGCACCCAUGACUCUUCACCCUCUCCCGAAGUCACUCCAGGGUCCACACACUCAUACAUAAUGGGCUACCUUCUCAAAAGAAGGGAACCCUGGGUUCAGAACACAAGACAUAAUACCUUUGCUGUUAUGAAAUCAUGAAAGAAUUCUUGGAUGUUCACAAACUAGAUUUGCCCAGCUCCCACAACAUCUUAUUUUCAUUAGCUUUGACUAAAGGGAAAAUUCCUCGUGACACUGUCAAGGGAAGCUUUAGAGCGACUGAAGUCAUAUGCUGAUUGUUAGAAGCUUCUUAAAAGCAUGAUUUUCGUUGCCAUCUAAAUGUAUAGAGGCUGAUAAACUGCAUAGGAACUGGG